CGGUUCGCGAUUCAGUUCAAUCACUCACUCCUGCGCCUCUGAGUCGUUUGAAGCGGUUAGCGUUAUUUUAGAGCAGGACAUGAUCUGAAAAACGUGGAUAUUUUGCCCACAGUCCACAGAAACAAACUCAAACUUCAUCCAGUGUUUUCCCAGUUACGGAAGAUAUCUUGUGAAGUAGAAGUAGCCGAACAGACCCCACUGCACGAGGAGCUUGAGGAACUUCAGGGAGAGUGCAUUAUGUGUAAAGAUUGGCGUCCACGGCGGGAUGAGGCCUUUCGGGUCAACAGAGGUGAUUUUGAACACAAAAGCUCUUCAGGCUGUCUGGAGGAAGUCAUGCGAGUCUCCAGAGAGGAACCUCAAUAAAGAAGCGGCCAGAGUAAAUAAUGACUGCUCCGCAUGGUGUUCCUGUCAUCGGCGGCCCAUCGCUGAGAUGAGCGAGGCUUUAAGCAGUAGGAGAUUUUAGCAGGUUUGUCCCACUGUGUUCUGAUUGCUAAUACACAGCAGUGUUGUUCCAAUUACGAACCCUCUAAAGCCACCAGACCUGACUAAAACCCAUCGGAAGCGUCCGUGUUUAUCAGGGCCCGAGCUGUCAGAAUCAUAAUUACUGAGAGACUUCAGUCGUUCGGUUUAAAUCACACUUUGUAUCAGUCAAGCCGGAGUGAAUCUGUCAGCCCUAGGCCUGAAUAAUUCAAUUAAUGGGGCUUCUAAGAGGUGGCUUGACUCAGCAGGACGGCUGUUUGUUUGGCUUUUGCUGUUUAUAUGUAAUCCAGUGUUAUAACCAGUUGUUCAUCAUGACUGCAGUCAAUAUCUUGUGCAUAGACUGCCAUCUCUAAUAAGACCACAUGGGUGUAAAACGCUUGGCUUGAGAGGAUAAUGUGGAUAUUGAAUGUAGAUUCUUAAGAUUAUUUUAGUAUUUAUAUUUUUGGUAAAAAAUGAAGAGAAACAUUGUGUCUGUGCAAGAAACCAAACACUAUUUACAACAUAAUUACAGUACCUUUAAACUGUUAGCCUUAGCAAAUUCCUAUGGCUGGAUUCCUGUGUCAUGUGCUGCAAAUUUAAGAGUCAUUUGGCAAGAAUGUAGUUGUUUAGACAUUAAAACAUGGCUAUAUUUAUUAAUAAAUAUAUAAAUAAUUUGUUUAAAGGUUUAGAAAUGUGAACUUCAAAAUGAAAGCUGCAAUUCAUCGCUUGUGAAUCUGGAUAAGAGCUCCCUAUCUCUGCCACUUUUUUCUGGAAUCUACCGCUGACUUACAUGAACAUCUCUAUAUGUCAAUUAAUGGAGCUUCUAAGUUGUGAAUUGACUCAGCAGGACGGCUGUUUGUUUGACUUUUGCUGUUUUAUAUGUAAUCCAGUGUUAUAGUCAGUUGUUCCUCAUGACUGUAGUGGAUAUUGCAUAAACCAGCAUCUCUAAUAAGACGACAUGGGUGUUAAAUGCUUGGCUUGAGUUCAUAUGAGGAAAGCAUUGUGGA
rnacentral:lncRNA from 1 species